rnacentral:rRNA from 1 species
UUGCCCGAGUAGCACGGGGCUCGUGGAAUCCUGUGUGAAUCUGCCAAGACCACUUGGCUGCCUGAAUACCUCCUGAUGACCGAUAGUGGAUAGUACCGUGAGGGAAUGGUGAAAAGUACCCCGGGAGGGGAGUGAAAUAGUACCUGAAACCGGGCGCUUACAAGCCGUCAGAGCCUUCCGCACCUUGUGUGUGGGGGUGGUGGCGUGCCUUUUGAAGAAUGAGCCUGCGAGUCAGUGGCGUGUCGCGAGGUUAACCCGUGUGGGGUAGCCGUAGCGAGAGCGAGUCCGAAUAGGGCGAUGUGUAGUGGCGCGUUCUGGACCCGAAGCGGGGUGAUCUACCCAUGGCCAGGUUGAAGCACGUGUAAGAGCGUGUGGAGGACCGAACCCACCUAGGUUGAAAACUGGGGGGAUGAGCUGUGGGUAGGGGUGAAAGGCCAAUCAAACUCCGUGAUAGCUGGUUCUCCCCGAAAUGCAUUUAGGUGCAGCGUCGCGUGUUGCCCGGCGGAGGUAGAGCUACUGGGUGGCUGAUGGGCCCCACAGGGUUACUGACGUCAACCAAACUCCGAAUGCCGUCGGGUCUAGCGUGGCAGUGAGACCGCGGGGGAUAAGCUCCGUGGUCGAGAGGGAAACAGCCCAGAUCGCCGGCUAAGGCCCCUAAGCGUGUGCUAAGUGGGAAAGGAUGUGCGGUCGCGCAGACAACCAGGAGGUUGGCUUAGAAGCAGCCAUCCUUGAAAGAGUGCGUAAUAGCUCACUGGUCAAGUGAUCGUGCGCCGACAAUGUAGCGGGGCUCAAGGAAUGACCAAGGGUUCCAGGGCCAGGCUAGUCCGCCCUGGGUGAGUCGGGACCUAAGGCGAGGCCGACAGGCGUAGUCGAUGGAUGACGGGUUGAUAUUCCCGUACCGGCGAAGCACCGCCCAUGCUGACGCGCGGGUGCUAACCCACGCCCAGCCACCAAGUUCAGCCGCGCCUACUCCUUUCGGGGGGUGGUGUGGUUGUGGUGGUGGGGUCUGGGGACCCUCCGUGCAGGUAGGCAAGCGUGUUAACAGGGGUGACGCACAGUGGUAGCCCGGCGGACCUGAUGGCUUGGUCCGUUCAAGCGCGCAGCCCGUCCUCCAGGUAAAUCCGGAGUGACUGUCUUUGAUGACGGGGGUGAGGCGUGAUGGUGACCCCACGCUGGUGGGGGAUAACAGGGUGAUCCUGGGGUGCCGAGAAAAGCCUCGACGCGAUGGUGCCAGCCGCCCGUACCCUAAACCGACACAGGUGGUCGGGCAGAGUAUGCCUAGGCGCACGAGUGAAUCAUGGUUAAGGAACUCGGCAAAAUGCCCCCGUAACUUCGGGAGAAGGGGGGCCCUAUCCUUUGAAGCCCCGUUUUGCGGGCUAGGGGGGUGGGCCGCAGAGACCAGGGGGAAGCGACUGUUUACUAAAAACACAGGUCCGUGCGAAGCCGUAAGGCGAUGUAUACGGACUGACGCCUGCCCGGUGCUGGAAGGUUAAGAGGAACCAUCAACCCCCUCGGGGGUGAAGUGGUGAAUUUAAGCCCCAGUAAACGGCGGUGGUAACUAUAACCAUCCUAAGGUAGCGAAAUUCCUUGUCGGGUAAGUUCCGACCUGCACGAAUGGCGUAA